rnacentral:rRNA from 1 species
AGCUAGUUGGGAAGGUAACGGCUCACCAAGGCGACGAUGCGUAGCCGACCUGAGAGGGUGAUCGGCCACACUGGGACUGAGACGCGGCCCAGACUCCUACGGGAGGCAGCAGUAGGGAAUCUUCCGCAAUGGACGAAAGUCUGACGGAGCAACGCCGCGUGAGUGAUGAAGGUUUUCGGAUCGUAAAGCUCUGUUGCCAGGGAAGAACCUUGCGAGAGUAACUGCUCGCAAGGGACGG